UGUAGAGACCAUUUUAGAAAAUACCAAAUACUUACUGUUCCCUCAAUUUUUAUAUACAGAAGUAUUCUGUACACAAAAGCUAAUAUUUAUUCAUUGACAUCAAAUUCAGAUGUACACAAUUAUCAUACUAGACAAAAAGAUUUCUUUAGGGCUCCUAAACAUUACACUUCCAUGUUUGAAAAAAGCCCUAAAUAUAGCGGCAUAAGGUUUUUUAAUCAGCUCCCAUCCAAAAUAAAAAGUGAGGCAGAUGAUGUUAGAAUAUUUAAGAAUAAAUUGAAGACUUAUCUCAUUGAGUCAUGUUUUUAUAGUGUCUCGGAAUUUAUGUCUUAGUAUGUUGUUUCUAUGUUUGUGUGUAUGUUUAUAUUGUAUAGGUAGUCUUUAACUUUUCUAUUUUUUAAAUGUCUAUAUUCUUUACUUUGACAUGUCCUAUAUUAUGUAAAUAAUCUGUAAGGAUGAAUAAAGUAUUAUUAUUAUUAUUA
rnacentral:lncRNA from 1 species